UGGUGUUCAGUGGGUACGGGCUUUUCUUUUGGGGUGAGGAAAAAAAUGUUUUAGAACUUGUGAGAGGUGUUGGUUGUGCAACAUCGUGAAUGGAUUAAAUGCCACCGAAUCGUUCACUUUAAAAUGGUUAAUUUUAUGUUGUGUGAAUUUCAUCGAAAAAAAAUAAAAAGGGUGAAUCCCAAUGAACCCAGGUCGUUUACAUUUCAGAAGCUCUAAUGCCUAACUCAGGGUUUGGCUCAGAGUAAAUGCUUAAUAAAUGUUUAUUGAAAGAACAACCUAACAUUUGCACAGUCAACAAAGCUCUUUGUUAUACAUUAGCUCAUUUCAUUUUUAAAGAACCCUCUGAGGUGGGCAGGGGUAAGCAUUCUCGUGUUGUAAAGGGGAAGCUAAGGCUUUGAGAGGAGUGUGGUUUGCACAAUGUCACGUAGCUAGUGACAGCAGUGCCAGAAUUCAAACCCAAAAGUCUUUGACUCCAAAGUCUGUGCUUGUAAAGCAAUACUAUUUUGUCUACCUCAUGGCUUUCAGGAUGGGAAACAAAGCAAUAGGGUUUUAAAAUAUGUUCUCCCCCCUUCUUUUUUUUUAGGGUAUUUAUUACUAAAAGUGUUUUAAAACUGGACCAUUGAGUAAAGUCACUCCAUCUCCUACCAUUCCUAGCACAGCGCUUGAUAAAUAUUUGCUGGCUCAUUCAGCUGCAGCUGCAGAGACCUACCUGUGGUUGCUGUGGCGACUGUCUGGGCCAAAGCUCAGGCAGCUGGAAGUAUCAGUGAAGCCAGAAGAUUUCAGCUGUUCAGGGUCUGUGAGAAGGAGUCAAGGUCUGGGGUUUGUGUCCUCUGCAUAGCAAUGGCACUGCAAUGGACGAGCCUGGUGCAGGGCUGGGCUGUCUCGCCACUGUCACCUGCCUGUUGAGGGAUGAUGGUGGUUGUUGAGAGGCUGGAUCAGACCCCAGAGGUGUGGCAUGGAUGUGACAUAUUUGUUGGACUUACACAGUCUUGUAUUUUAUUUCCAUCUCUGUUCCUUCCUUCCAUGAGAUCUUGGGUGUUGCUUCAUCAACCCUGAGUAAUCGUUUCUUCAUCUGCAAGAUGGAAUAAGAAGGCCUACCUCACUGGGCUCGUGUGGGUGAGGAGAACUGAAGAGUCUGAGAGCACCAGCGUGGUGCUUGGCACGAGCCAGAGGCUACAGAAAACACUGCCCUCCCACACUCCACCUUGGAGAGACUCAGAAAAGAGCAAGCUUCAUUUGAAAAAAAGGAAAACAGCUCAGGCAAUGGGGUGGCUUAGAGGCACUCUACUGUGCACACAUGCCUUCCACUUCUUCCAUCUGCCAUGUCUUUCCAAGAACCCCUAUGGCCCUGGGCUCAGAGCAGAGCUGAGUGCAGAAAUGAAAAUCUAUGGCCCUGUGUUCCAAAACAAUGAAGAAUUUCAAGAUGGUGGCAGUGGCAAAAUCCUUCUCCAGGAAAAUUCUUUCCUUGGCCCAAUGUGUAAACACUUGCUGAGGUCCUGUGGAGUUCCGAACUUGUAGUAACUUGCAGUAUCUUGCAGUGUUGUGAAACCAGCAACUUGUUCACAAUUCUUCUGAAUUUCUCGGGAAAUUUGAAGUGGAGUACCUGUACCAACAUGAAAUGGUACGAAUUUAAGUGAAGCUCAACAACAAAAAGCAAAAAGAACCAAAGAGGAAGCAACUGAAACAACAUCUGGAUGUAUUUAAAAAUAUACAGUGCCUCUAAAAUCAGGUGUCAUUAAUGAAAAUUCUCAAGAAAUGCCACCGGACAUAGCCAAUGCACCCAUACUAUUGUUAUUCAUUUCCUGCUUUUUACAGAAAACAAUUUUGUUGCAUGGAAGAUUGGUGAGUUAUAAAAAGACCUGCCCUGGGAGAAUGGCGUGAACCAGGAGGCGGAGCUUGCAGAGAUCGCGCCACCGCACUCCAGCCUGGGUGACAG